rnacentral:rRNA from 1 species
UACCCCCAGCUAAGGGCCUGAACUAAAUGGAAUCUGCCUUGAUGUCUUCGGUUGGGGCGACCAUGGGGAAUACAAAACCCCCACGUGGAAAGGGAGCACACCCCUAAGUUACUUCUUCUCCCGCAAGCCAGAGCAACAGCUCUAACCAGCAGAAAUUCUGACCAAACUGAUCCGGUAAAACCGAUCAACGAACCAAGUUACCAUAGGGAUAACAGCGA